GAGCGGCGGGGUCACUGUCACGGGGGGCACCCCCUGGAAGCCACAGACAAGCGGCGACCUCGGCCUCUUCCAAAAUUGCAGGCAGACAGGCCGGCGCGGAAAGCCCCGGGCAACCCAGCCCCACUCAGAGGGGAAGAGUCCUCACCUGGCCCAGCAGUGCUGCUGAGCCUCUGGCUAUGCCCCAGGCUGGAGCUUGACCCCGCCCCCGGACUCUGCCUGCGCAAAGAAGGCCUAUACAAAGAAAGAAGUGAAAACUUGAAGAAGUGAUUAGAGUUGGAAGUUUAAUACCAUUUUAAUGAAGGGAAAAGUUACUGGACAACAAAAGAAGAGUUUUAGGGACCAUAAAUUAUGUGGCUUUUUAGGUUUCCUGGCUCCUUUGGGGCUUAUUGUUUGGAAGAGUCAGUGCAAGUUUGUCAAUAGUAGCCCUGAGUCUACCUAAACUAUUUCGUGGCCAGAAACUGACAGUGAAACAUUUCAACAGAAACCAAGCCCUCCAAAGUGAACUUUCUAAAUGGUGUGCUGAAUCUGAGAAUUUCAACCUUAUUUUUCUGUUGGGUAAAAAUCAUUCUCUUUUAUUGCCCUGUACUCACUUUUAUUUUAUUUU